GGGUAAGUUCCGACCUGCACGAAUGGCGUAACGACUUUCCUACUGUCUCAACCACAGACCCGGCGAAAUUGAAGUACGAGUAAAGAUGCUCGUUAGCUGCAGCAGGACGGAAAGACCCCGUGGACCUUUACUACAGCUUGGUGUUGGGUUUUGGUGCGGAUUGUGCAGGAUAGGUGGGAGGCUUGGAAGCUCUAGCGCUAGCUAGGGUGGAGCCAACGUUGAGAUACCACCCUGUUCGUUCCGGGACUCUAACUCUGGUCCGUGAUCCGGAUCGGGGACAGCGCCAGGUGGGUAGUUUGACCGGGG
rnacentral:rRNA from 1 species